GAGUCAUUGGGACUCUGUUAAACCUAAAGGCGCAAUGAAAGUAAAGGUCCGCCUCGCGCGGACCUAGGGAGGAUGGGCCCGUCUACGGGCGGGCCCCGCACUCCCGGGGCGUCUCGUUCUCAUCGCGAGAAGAGGCGCACCCAGAGCGUACACGCUGGGACCCGAAAGAUGGUGAACUAUGCCUGGUCAGGACGAAGUCAGGGGAAACCCUGAUGGAGGUCCGUAGCGAUUCUGACGUGCAAAUCGAUCGUCGGAACUGGGUAUAGG
rnacentral:rRNA from 1 species